rnacentral:lncRNA from 1 species
UUUUUUUUUUUUUUGGUACCAGGGAUCAAACUUGGGUCCUUGUGCUUUGAAGGCAGGCGGUGGAACCACUGAGCUAAAUCCCCGGCCCUCUCACCAAACUUUUAAUACAGCUUGCACUUUGUGUUAAAUCUAAUGUUUGGUGCCCAGAAAUAUAACCCGGAAACAUUGUGUUUAAUCCCAUCUCCAGCAUCACCUCCCCACCCGGACGGGAUGUUUGCUGUUACAUUUCGGCUGCUCCAGCAGCUUCCUCAUCCUCGAGACAGGAGCGUCUCCGGGAAGACCCAGAACCCUGUGUUUGCCCCCCAUACACAUAUAUGUAUUUCAUAGGCAAGAAAACCCGGUUUUGAAACCGUUUAUCUCAUUCCAGAAUUCUUUGAGGGGGGGUGGGCCGGGUACCGGGGAUCGAACUUGGGUCCUUUCAUUCCAGAAUUCUAAGGAAAGACCUUUGCUAACAGCAGCAUCUCUUGUUUUGUCUUCCUGACCCCUAGCUGUGCGGUCUGAAGGUGGAAGUGGAUAUGGAGAAGAUCGCAGCGGAAAUCGCCCAGGCCGAGGAGCAGGCCCGCAAGAGGCAGGAGGAGAGGGAGAAGGAGGUGGCCGAGCAGGCGGAGCGCAGCCAGGGCAGCCUGGCCCCCGAGGAGGAGCCCGCGGCCGGCAAGGCUGAGGAGAAGAAGGACGACGAGAGCAUCCCGAUGGACACAGAGGAGACACACCUUGAAGAGGCCACGGAGAGCCAGCAGAACGGGGAGGAGGGCACGUCUACGCCCGAGGACAAGGAAAGCGGCCAGGAAGGCGUCGACAGCAUGGCGGAGGAGGGGACCAGCGACAGCAACACCGGCUCAGAGAGCAACAGCGCCACCGUGGAGGAGCCACCCACAGACCCCCUCCCGGAAGACGAGAAAAAGGAAUAAAUGUUGCCUUGUUUUAUGUGUCCUAAAUACUUUUUUAAAUGAAAAAUGUUUUUUUGGUUUUCAUGGUGUUGCGUGGUCUAUGUAUUCAUUUUUUCUUGUCCAUAUCACACCACCAAAGGCUUUUGGACCAUGAGCGUCAGAGCCUAAGGCACAGCCACCUUUCUGAGGUUGUGAAGAUGACUCUUGUCUUUGGAAUCUGUCGCUGGCCCUCGACUGCUGAAGGCCUUGGAAUCUACAUUGAGAGACACCACCUCUCCGGAGUUACCUUCGAUGCUGCAGAACCUCCUUACAAUGCCUUCUCAGCUCACUCGGUGCUUACCAGAGCCAUAGCUUUAAACCUGCCCCGUCCCCUCCUGUGACCCGAGAACACAGUUGUGCAGAGGCCGGUGUGUUUGCUUCCCCUUUUGGCUUUUAGUCCCUGUUGGGUACGUAGAGCUGUGUUACGGGGUAGAACACAGCCGGCGGCAAACUGCACUUGGGUGGUCCUGACCCAAAUGCGGUGUCUGCCUUCAGGGUAGUCACUGGCUGGUGGAGUAGUCAUGGAGUGAACACAGCUCACACAGUCUGCUGCUUUUUGUUCUAAUUAAUAUUGGGUACACGUCCCUUUUUUUUGGUAUCGGGGAUCGAACUCAGGACCUUGCACUUGCGAGGCAGGCGCUGUGCCUCUGAGCUACAUCCCCAGCCCCAAUUCAUUCAUCCUUAUUGUACAGGGGGAAAUUUUUUUUUUAAACCAGGUUUUCCAAAGACAGAAUAGAUCACAAGUAUUCUCUUAAGGAAUGGAACAUUCUUACAACGGACUAGAUAACUUGAAAAUGAUUAGCCUAUUCCAGAAGAAAAACAGCUGGGAAUUUAGUUUGUCUGCUUGAAAUUGUUUAUAAUCAAAACAUUCAAAACCUCAAGGCUCAGGAUCCCACAGAUCAGAGCCAAACUUUUUGAUAAACUCUUAGUAAGUCUUGGAGACUAGAAGCAAGAUAGUUUGUGACAUGUAUGCGUCCUAAAAACUAGAAUAGAUUUUUACUGAAUAGUGGUAUAUCUGAUGGUCUAUGUUUCUUAAAGGUUCAAAUGUAAUAAAAAAAUGAAAAAAAUGGUCUCGGCGUUUUUAAUGCACUGAGUAUUUAUAAGCAAGACAAGCAUGGGGUUUUGUCUAAGCCGGUGAUGGCAGGGAGCGGCCACUGGCAACCGGGAGGAAUUUGCUUGCUCACCCCUCAUCUUGCCCUGCUAUUUCUGUAUGACACUGCGGUGGUAAGUUCAUCUGUACAAAACACCUGCAGAAGUUUCCCUUACGACAGUCAUGUUACUCAUGGAGGCUGUGAAGGGAAGAUUUGCACAUUAACAUGAACAUGAUCUUAAAAGCAUGAUGAAAUCGUGCACGCCCUGAGCUUGCAGGGAGGCACGCUGCCCCGGAACACCUGGCUGUAUGGUGGGUUCCCU